GCUAGACAAAUAUGAGAAACCUUUACCCCAGUCAGAGAAAAACCUACUUGAUACACUUAUUGCUCUGCAUAGACAACAGCUUUAACUGAUUAUGACGUAACUGGUGAUAUCGCUUGUGCCAUCGACACUGCAUACUAAAAGUCUUAUUCAUAAAGGCCCAGAAAAAUGUAUAUUUCCUGACCCGUAGUGAAGUGUCAGGUGUGAAUGAAGCGACUUCCAGAGCUGACUCUUUGAAGUGAACAACGAGAAUCGGUUCCUGCCUGGGAGCCUGAGAAGCUUUUCUUCUUUUUUUCUUCCUCUCUCUCUUUUUUUCCUAUUCAGGUCAUACAUGAUUGGUCAACUGCAUGAUGUGUGAUGACGUCUGAGUGUUCACACCAAACAGUCAUUGGUCAGUACUGAGCAGAAGGGAAGGAGGGGAGCUUACAGACGCACCACACGCUCAUUUCCCUCCCUUGUGCUUCUUUGUACGUGUAAGUGAGAGAGAGAGAGAAAGAACAUCUGAUGCAAAGAAAACAAUCUGGAAACUUGAGAAGAUGAGUGACGACAGUAAAACUUCAAUCCCCUCUGAGAGAAUGCUCUCCAACACAAGGCAGAUAAAAAUAAAGAGAAGAAACAGGAUCAACCCCUUAAAGCUGAGGGACUUGGUUUUUCUCAUGUUUUUUAUUGUGUGAUACUCUAUGCUGAUUCACUCUAGUGAAAUAGUGAAAAGAUUAUAAAUAUUAAACAUACAAUCAGAGAUUUGGAUCUUUUUGUCAAAUUCAGAUGUGUGCUUGUUUUUGUACUUCAAAAUUUAUUUUUUAUGACCAUAUAAAUAAUAAACAUCUGAUAUAAUGUAUGUUUUGUAUACCAGUCACUCAUUUUACACAUAGUUUUACUUUAAUUUUGGCAAUAAAUAAUUUAAGAAUCAAAAAAUCUGAAGAGCCACUUGGGAGCCAAAAGAGACAAACUAUUUUGUUGCAAUUGCAAUUUUGUUGGUCGCUAGCAGAUUCCUGCAGUCAUGUGAUAGUUUGAUUUUAUCAUGAAGCUGAUCAUCAAGAGCAGAAUAGGUAUUUAAAAAGUCCUCCUGAAAGAUUUGAUUUAAAUAACUUAGUGAUGGGGACGUUUUAGACUAGAUGCUAUGCUGCACAAAGUUUGAUGGCAAAAGGGAAGUGGACUUUAUCAGCUGGAGCAUUUCCCAGCCACCAGAGGUGCCGUACAGAUUAUAGUUUGUAUUUUCUAGUUUUUACUUUUUGUUUUUAUUUGGUGACUUUCCAGAGUACCUCUGCUCAUUUCAUUUUAGUUUUUGUUUUUUGAAAACCUAAGAAAAAAGAUGACUUUUUGAAAGCAGGUUUGAUAAUAUAUUUUACCAAAUAAAAAAAAAAUGCAAAAACUACCUAGUUUUACCAGUUUAACA